rnacentral:rRNA from 1 species
GUGGGGAAUUUUGGACAAUGGGCGCAAGCCUGAUCCAGCAAUGCCGCGUGCAGGAAGAAGGCCUUCGGGUUGUAAACUGCUUUUAUACGGGAAGAAAAAAUACUACGUGUAGUAUACUGACGGUACCGUAAGAAUAAGGAUCGGCUAACUCCGUGCCAGCAGCCGCGGUAAUACGGAGGAUCCAAGCGUUGUCCGGAUUUAUUGGGUUUAAAGGGUGCGUAGGCGGAUCUUUAAGUCAGUGGUGAAAGCCUGCAGCUUAACUGUAGAAUUGCCAUUGAAACUGAAGAUCUUGAAUGUGGUUAAAGUAGGCGGAAUGUAUCAUGUAGCGGUGAAAUGCUUAGAUAUGAUACAGAACACCGAUAGCGAAGGCAGCUUGCUGAACCAUUAUUGACGCUGAGGCACGAAAGCGUGGGGAGCGAACAGGAUUAGAUACCCGAGUAGUCC